UUUUUUAAUUAAAAAAUAAAUAAAGCAGGGAAGGGGAGGAGGGACUAGAGAGUGUUAGGGGUGAGGCUACGGUUUUAAGUAGGACAACUGUGUCACUUUUUUUUUUUUUUUUUUUUUUUUUUUUUUGUGGUACACAGGCCUCUCACUGCCGUGGCCUCUCCCGUUGCGGAGCACAGGCUCCGGACGCGCAGGCUCAGCGGCCAUGGCUCACAGACCCACACGCUCCGCGGCAUGUGGGAUCCUCCCGGACCGGGGCACGAACCCGUGUCCCCUGCAUCGGCAGGCGGACCCUCAACCACUGCGCCACCAGGGAAGCCCUGUGUCAGUUUUAACUGUUACAAAUGUUUGUAAACCCUGCGGGUCAGGUAGGCAGUAGGAUCUGUCUGUGGUGGGAUGUCACCUGUGUGCAUACCAGUCUGUGGACUCGGCCCGACGAUCUCCAGGGUCCUCGUUGGCCUUGACACUUGAGGAAUCCACGUGUUACCCACAGCUUGCAGAGAACUUUCCUUUCUGUAGUAGAAUUGGGCUCACUUUGUCUUUGGUGUUAACAGUUAUUUGCAGUGCAGGCUGAGGGUCUGGGCUCCCAGUGGGAGGCACUAGAGGGAGAUAGGAGGGCUGGAAGAAGGGAGAGGCCAGGGUAUUUCUCCCUCGCCUUCUCCUCCCUGUCAGGUCUCUGGAAGCAGGAGCUUCUCUGGGGCUCCAGUUCUUGCUAGCCAGGCCACCAUGGUUUUGGUUCUCACCAAGUGAUCCAGGUAUCUGAACUCAGCCCCUUAUAGUACAGUGUCACCUGCCACUGAUUUGGCGUCUCCAGGGAUAAAUGCAGCUCCCCGAUCGGCAUCUUCCCUCAACAUCUGAUAAGAAUAUGGAACCAUACGGGAUAUUGUUGCCAGGCUGAAGCAGAUCGUUUAACCUGAAUGAACCUCAGUUCCUGCAGCUGUAGAAGGGU